CAGCCGCCACGGUAAUACGUAGGGUGCAAGCGUUAAUCGGAAUUACUGGGCGUAAAGCGUGCGCAGGCGGUUCGUUAAGACAGAUGUGAAAUCCCCGGGCUUAACCUGGGAACUGCAUUUGUGACUGGCGAGCUAGAGUAUGGCAGAGGGGGGUAGAAUUCCACGUGUAGCAGUGAAAUGCGUAGAGAUGUGGAGGAAUACCGAUGGCGAAGGCAGCCCCCUGGGCCAAUACUGACGCUCAUGCACGAAAGCGUGGGGAGCAAACAGGAUUAGAUACCCCGGUAGUCCCUGUCUCUUAUAC
rnacentral:rRNA from 1 species